UCUCUCUCUCUCUCUCUCUCUCUCUCUCUCUAAGAAAAACCCACGCUUCCCAUCUCUAACGACAUCUCCGCUCCAACUGGACCAAGGGCGGCCCUUACAACUGGACCAAGGGCGGCCAUCUCUAACGCCAUCUCCGCUCCAGAUUCAAGAUGCUGGGAAAGGCCCGGUCUCUGUUCAUCAAGGAAUACAACCACAGGCUCUCCAAUUGAUUUUAGUAGAGCAAAGAACUGUAUGGUCAAAGUGAUUUUUGAGUUAUGAUGAGCAGGUCCCUAGUCACGAGCUGCAAAUGUUGAAUAUGACUAUAAUCUUCAAAAUGGAUGCACUGCAAUAUGCUGGAAAUGGUUGUUUAGUGAAUCGGUGGGUGCUUUGCAAGGAUGUUGACUUCACACAUAUAGAUUGUAGUAUCUGUGAAUUGUGUAAUCAGAGUUGCAUUGGAAAGACGUUUCUAUUAUGCAUUGCGCCCUACCUUUUGGCUGUAAUUUUUAGCAGUGAAAUUAAGGUGGUUGUAAUUGUAAAUAGGGGAAUACAUUACUCUUGUUUGAUUUGAAUAUC